UCGUAUAACCUAACCAGCUUUGUCUGUAGAGAGAAGUUUUUCUUAUAUGGAUUUUCACAGCUUCUCAUACAAUACUACCUACACACCAACACCAGAAUCUACUUCUCCUUCUUGAGCAGCAACAGUGAAACACAUCAUCGUUUUCUCAUACUUAGAAAGUGCUUGCGACACCUUCAUCUUCUGUUUGUGGAUUUCAGUUGAACUUGAAGGGAUUUUUCUAGGUAAGAAGAGAUCUCGGAGCUACUUUCUGUUGAAUGCUAUGACCAGUUAGUAAAACAAAUUAAAACCUAGGGUUUCAUAUAUUUGGGGUUUUUCCAAUAUAGUGUUUAAGUUAAACAAUUGAUAUCUAGGGUUUUUGGUUCGUUUUUAUUUCGAAUUAUUCUAAUUUAUCAAUUUCUUAUAUGAUAUCUAGGGUUUUUGAUUCAUUUUUGUUUCGAAUUAUUGAGCUACCCUUUUUAUGGGUUAAAUUGAUUUUUUCUUAAUUUAAUUUGUUUGUUUCUUCAAUUUUGUUAACGAGUUUUUGCAAAUUUUUGGGUAAUUGAAUUAUGUUUUUGGAGAUUGGUUAACAACAUGGGGACAGUGCCAUUCAAUCAGAGAGCUUCACAGAAGUUAAUUAUUUUGUUUAUUUUUCUGUUAAUUUGUUUAUCUUGCUGUGUUCGAUCAGAGAGUUGUUUUUCCUCCAUUAUCAUGCCAGCCCUCCCUAUUAUUGUAGUUUCUCGGUUGACAUCCAGGUAUUUCCAUAUACUUAACUGUCUGGACAUCUAUUUGCAUCCUCCAUGUUACAUUGUGUCCAUUAUUUUUUCGACAUUGGAUUCACUAUGUAUCUGAAUUUAUUUGGUGGUGUGGUGGGUUCUAGGUGUUGAUAACCAAUUCGUGCAUGGUAACAGCUUCAAACUUAAAAUUCAGGUUCCCAGGCACUCUUUUGGAUAACCUAUUCAAACCUUUGCUUUAUCAUGUUCAUAUUUUACAUUUGUUAUGUGCACCAACAGGUUCCAGAUAAGAUUUAAAAUUAACUUUAUCCGAGAACUAGAAAGUUAGCUGACGAGUGGACGAAAAGCCUGUCAAAAUUUACAAUCACUCAGAAGGGUCUCAACUCAUUCUUUGUCUGUCUAAUUGAACACAACAGAACCGCCAGAAUUCGACAUCGAUGUUUGUACAUGAAGUGCAUAUUCAUUAAGCGCAAGUUGAGUUGGUCCUCAAUAGGUUAACACACAUUGUUAAAGUUCUUCUUAUUGUAAUAUGGUGCAAAAAUUCUCAGUCAUCAUUGUUAUAACUAGAGCUUGAGCAGAUGUGUAUUGAAAUUUGUUCACUCAAUCAUCCUUCGGUGAUGGAAUUCGUGUAUUACUUGAGCAAGAAAUUAUCUUGCUUCGAGAAAUCAAUCAUUAUCUAAAUGAACUCUGAAUGAAAUGAUAUAUGUCAAAAUCUUUGUUGUAUGA